GUGCUCGCUUCGGCAGCACACACACUAAAAUUGGAAUGAUACGGAGAAGAUUAGCACGGCCCCUGUGCCAGGAUAACACGCAAAGUCAUGAAGCGUUCCUUAUUUUU
ensembl:snRNA U6 U6 spliceosomal RNA